CUACGGGAUGCUGCAGUGAGGAAUUUUGCGCAAUGGGGGAAACCCUGACGCAGCAACGCCGCGUGAGUGAAGAAGGCCUUUGGGUCGUAAAGCUCUGUCAACUGGGAAGAAGUUAACCAGAAUUAAUAGUUGUGGUUAUUGACGGUACCAGUGGAGGAAGCGCCGGCUAACUCCGUGCCAGCAGCCGCGGUAACACGGGGGGCGCAAGCGUUAUUCGGAAUUAUUGGGCGUAAAGGGCGCGCAGGCGGUCUUGUCAGUCAGGUGUGAAAGCCCGGGGCUCAACCCUGGAAGUGCACUUGAAACAGCAAGACUUGAGUACGGGAGAGGAGAGAGGAAUUCCUGGUGUAGAGGUGAAAUUCGUAGAUAUCAGGAGGAACACCGAUGGCGAAGGCAUCUCUCUGGACCGAUACUGACGCCGAGGCGCGAAGGCGUGGGUAGCGAACGGGAUUAGAUACCCUGGUAGUC
rnacentral:rRNA from 1 species